rnacentral:rRNA from 1 species
AGAGCGAACGCUGGCGGCAGGCCUAACACAUGCAAGUCGAGCGCCCCGCAAGGGGAGCGGCAGACGGGAGAGUAACACGUGGGAACGUACCCUUUGGUUCGGAACAACACAGGGAAACUUGUGCUAAUACCGGAUAAGCCCUUACGGGGAAAGAUUUAUUGCCAAAGGAUCGGCCCGCGUCUGAUUAGCUUGUUGGUGAGGUAACGGCUCACCAAGGCUACGAUCAGUAGCUGGUCUGAGAGGAUGAUCAGCCUCACUGGGACUGAGACACGGCCCAGACUCCUACGGGAGGCAGCAGUGGGGAAUAUUGGACAAUGGGCGCAAGCCUGAUCCAGCCAUGCCGCGUGGAUGAUGAAGGCCCUAGGGUUGUAAAGUCCUUUCGACGGGGAAGAGUAAUGACGGUACCCGUAGAAGAAGCCCCGGCUAACUUCGCGCCAGCAGCCGC